UCCCAUGUGGUGUAGUGGUUAACAUUACGGAUUCUCACUCCGUAGCCCAGAGUUCGAUUCUCUGUAUGGGAG